AAGAAUUAAAAAACAACAGAAAAAUAAUCAAAAACUUGGUAACUAAAACUUUCUUAUACAGGUAUUCUUAAAGUUUUGGCAAGAGAUGCAAGCAUGAUUUUUAGAAAAACAUGCUGGAAAAGCACUCAGGGAUUAAUUAUUUUAAAGAGUAAAUUUGUGAAAGCUCUUUGCCACAUUUUCGAUAGCUCCACUGGCUCUUUCAGCUGAGGUUGAACCUUUCCCAUUGCCUUUUCCACCUUAAUUUGACCAUGAGGACGAUCAUCUCUGUCCCCUUGCAAAUGCCAUGAACCCUGGUGUCAUGGUGCCAUGGCCAAGACACAUGGGGGUCCAGCCCCUCUGCCCCAUUGGAGCUCAGCCUUGUUGGCAGGGGGAAGACAGACUACAGGUAUCACAAUGCAGGACACCCCUUUUUUCCUUCAGAGCUGUGGUCUUGCAGGUGAUCCCCUUCCCAGGACCCAGUGGCUGAAGAAGGCUGUGGACCUCCCAGCUGUCAGAGACCUCGGAUCAAGGCUGGAUGCUCUUCUGGAAGGGCGCAUCUCCUGGAUCCUCUCCCUUGCUCCUAUGUCAGGCACAGAAUUAGCUGCUUCCAGGUUAUACAGGGCAUUGGAAAGGUGAGGGCUGGUUCCUUGGUCACAACCUCAUCCAGAUUUGAGCCACCUCUGCCUUCCCUUUCCUGGGCUUACUAACUCUUCCUUGGAAAGACUACCCCUUGGGCCAGCAAUGGUGCCUGGCUAGCCAGGAGUUCACUUGGCUAGCCCUGUCCCUGUGGAGGGGGAAUCUGGAGGCAAUGGUUUGGCUGGAUGCUGUCACUAGGUUCUGCCAAGGAUAUCUGGUCCCCUAAGCCAUGUGGUCACAUACAAUCACUUUCUUGUGCUGUACACAGGUGGAGUGAACAUCACUCCUGGGUGGGGAGCCUGGGGCAGAUUUCCCAGGUAGAGGUGAAGAAGAUGGGAACUUUUAGGGCUCCCCAGGACAGACUGGUCACACAAUGAAGACAAGUUACUGCCCAGCUCUCCCUACCAUGAAGAGGAGGAGAUUUCACACCACUGAUGGUCUACCAGACAUACACAGUGCCUGAAUCUUAUCCUGGCUCUUUGCCCAGGGACAAACUGUUCCAGCAUCAGAGGGAGAUGAUAAGGGAUGUUAUCAAAGCUUUUCUUUGGCUUUUUCAGCUGGAAGUGUUGCUCAUGGUCCUUUCCCUCUCCUCCUCAUCCCACAUCCACCUCAAAGUGACCACAUCUCAACUUUCCUUCCCGUUUCACACACAUCUCCCCGCCCCAUGUUUCCACCUGAGACAAAAUAGCCAUAAGUCACUUGGGUUUCCUGUGAGGAAAUUAAAAAUCCUACAAGGAUCUGAAUCCCUUUCCCCCUCCUCCAGAGGCAACUUGGACCAGAGGACGGAUCGGCGUGGUUCAGAGGCUGUGUUCAGAGCUAGUCCCAGGGUCUGUGAAAUGCUGCAGCUCCUUCCAGUGUCUCAGCAGCAAGGUUUCUGUGCAGGCUCUGUCAUCCUGGGCAUGACCUGGAAAGAGCAAGAGGAUCUGGAUCCUAGCCCAGGUCCUGGCAUCUUACAACCCUGUGCCUCAGCAUCUCAGCUGCCACAGCAGGAAGGGGAGGACAACUGGGAGAUCUUACUCAGGGUCUGCUGGGGGUAAGGUCUAAAGCAGGACCCCACCCCUGGAAGGAUGCUUGAGCACCUGGAGAGCUCAGGGUUUAAAUUCCAAGCUGCACCCUGCCUGUUUGUUUGCCUGGUCCUAGCUCAGAGGCCAGAUCACAGAAGUGCAGGAGGACCUGAAGCUCCUCUACUGAUGCAGAUGAAGGAAAAGAUAACAACUUUAAAACCUGCCUGGGAUUUUUACUUUCUGUAGCUGGAUGAGGAACAACUAAUGCCAGACAAUGCCUGUGUGUCUUUCUCCAAAUGUUGGCAACUCCUGUCCACUGAAAUACCAAGCUUGAAACAUUCUGCUUGGCUUCAGUUCCUGGGCCAGUUUUCAGGUGUUUAAACGAAUUAAUUAAGCAGCAGCCUCUAGCCCAUUGCCUUCACCCUCUCUCAGAGCAGAAUCAUCCUGAAGGAUCUCUGCUGGCUUCAGUGAAAUGACUGACUUUUUCCAGUCUGCAUCUCAGCAUGUGACCCAAAGAGGAACAUGAAGGAUACCCUGGAGAUCCUGCUAGAGACUGAAAAAUGGAAGGACCUUGCAAGGGUGGUUCGUAUCUUAGAGGGUCAGAAUCAACUUCCAACCAGAAAGGAAACCUCAGGUAACAUAGCUCCUCAGUUAAAUAUAUAAUUUAAAGCAGGGGAGUCAGGACUGUUGAGCACAUAGGAUGUGAUGGCCAUUUGCUGGCAGAGUCUGGAGCUGCCAUUUUGCCUUAGAUGGGUUUUAAAAGCUGUGUGUCCCUCAUUCUAUGUUUGCAUCCCAGAGCUCAUCCUACACUGGCCACAUAUCUGUGACAGAUGAACAGUCCCAGGAAACCCCCCCAAAAAUAAAGAGUCAUGUUGGGCUGUGAAAUGUACCACUCACACAGUGCAAGUCAGCUACCUGCCUCUGCCAGAUUCUUGUCAUAUAUAAUCAGGGUGGCAGGAGCAGAAAAACCCUCCCGCUCAUCUCUUCGGCAGCUGCUGCCAUGUCAUGACAAGGGUUAAUCGGGACAGAUGUAAAAUGUGAAAACCGGAUGCGGGCAAAAGCUGGACCGUCUGUGGCAGGAGGAGGAACCCCUGUCGAAAGUCCCAGAACUAGUGAGAACAGACGACUUGAUUUCUAUUGUGUAAGUGGGGAUUUGUCCGUGAUGGUAUAGUAACAACUAGAAUUAGAAAGGAAUAAAGAGUGAAUUCUUCCUUCAUCCCAAGUGUGUUCCCUCCAGGGCAAAGGUCAAGUGCAUUGUGUGGCAGUGUUUGGAUUCAGAAUAAAAUAAGUGACAAGGGCGAAAACCUAGGGCAUGCACAGGGACUGAAUAAAGAGGAGUGUGAGCUAGACACCAGAAACCACUCUCUCACCCUAGGGGUCAUUAACAUGUGCAAUAGGUGACCUCAUGACAUGGCACAGGGGCAAUAGAGACACUAAUGUGAGUCAUUUAAAUGCUGAUUUGAGUAUAUUCAGAUAUUGAUAAAAGCAUAUUUCUGAGCAUAGCUAUUGGUAAAGUGGCCACCUCCUCUGGUAAAAUGGAAACAGUAUCCCUUGCUUGUAUAGUUUGCUGGAAUUUAUUCUCAUCUAUGUUCUCUAUUUCUCCAUGGAAAAGGGGGCUUUGUUGGUGUCUCUCUACACAUUGUCUACCCACCCAUAUGGAUUCCACAAGAAGAGUCCACUCAUGUCCUGGAGCAAAUGCUCUUGUGGAGGGAAGGGGUUCAGCAUAAAGCGUGAAACGCUAACGGAGAUGGAGUUUGUCCACAGCUUUUGUCGAGAGAGAACUUAGUAACUCAAUAAAA